rnacentral:rRNA from 1 species
UAGGGAAUCUUCCACAAUGGACUCAAGUCUGAUGGAGCAACGCCGCGUGAGUGAAGAAGGUCUUCGGAUCGUAAAGCUCUGUUGUUAAAGAAGAACACGUAUGAGAGUAACUGUUCUUGUAUUGACGGUAUCUAACCAGCAAGUCACGGCUAACUACGUGCCAG